CGGACAGUCGGGGAUGAGUGCGCUAACAUACCUGUAGGUUGCUGAUUUAAUGAGCGUUUGAUGGAAAAAGACAGUCGCAUGAUAGGUCUGGACUUUGGGUCCUGCUAUCCUGCCUGCACACAGCCUACAUGACAGAAAGUAUGCAGCUCUCAUUAUUUCUCUGAUGGCCAAAGACUGCAGAUACCUCCUGGAGACUCUUCUGUACAAUCCUG